rnacentral:rRNA from 1 species
GAUGAACGCUGGCGGCGUGCCUAAUACAUGCAAGUCGAGCGAACAGAUAAGAAGCUUGCUCCUUUGACGUUAGCGGCGGACGGGUGAGUAACACGUGGGUAACCUACCUAUAAGACUGGGAUAACUUCGGGAAACCGGAGCUAAUACCGGAUAAUAUUUCGAACCGCAUGGUUCGAUAGUGAAAGAUGGUUUUGCUAUCACUUAUAGAUGGACCCGCGCCGUAUUAGCUAGUUGGUAAGGUAACGGCUUACCAAGGCGACGAUACGUAGCCGACCUGAGAGGGUGAUCGGCCACACUGGAACUGAGACACGGUCCAGACUCCUACGGGAGGCAGCAGUGGGGAAUCUUCGACAAUGGGCGAAAGCCUGACGGAGCAACGCCGCGUGAGUGAUGAAGGCCUUCGGAUCGUAAAGCUCUGUUAUUAGGGAAGAACAGAAGUGUAAGUAACUGUGCACGUCUUGACGGUACCUAAACAGAAAGCCACGGCUAACUACGUG